GACGUACGCUGGCGGCGCGCCUAACACAUGCAAGUCGAACGGAGAUACCAGAGGAGCUUGCUCCACCGGUAUCUUAGUGGCGGACGGGUGAGUAACACGUGAGCAACCUGCCUUUCAGAGAGGGAUAACGUUUGGAAACGAACGCUAAUACCACAUAACAUCACGAUACGGCAUCGUAUUGUGAUCAAAGGAGCAAUCCGCUGAGAGAUGGGCUCGCGUCCGAUUAGAUAGUUGGUGGGGUAACGGCUCACCAAGUCGACGAUCGGUAGCCGGACUGAGAGGUUGAACGGCCACAUUGGGACUGAGACACGGCCCAGACUCCUACGGGAGGCAGCAGUGGGGAAUAUUGCACAAUGGGGGAAACCCUGAUGCAGCGACGCCGCGUGAGGGAAGAAGGUUUUCGGAUUGUAAACCUCUGUCUUUGGUGACGAUAAUGACGGUAGCCAAAGAGGAAGCUACGGCUAACU
rnacentral:rRNA from 1 species